rnacentral:rRNA from 1 species
CCUACGGGAGGCAGCAGUAGGGAAUAUUGCUCAAUGGGGGAAACCCUGAAGCAGCAACGCCGCGUGGAGGAUGAAGGUUUUCGGAUUGUAAACUCCUUUUGUUAGAGAAGAUAAUGACGGUAUCUAACGAAUAAGCACCGGCUAACUCCGUGCCAGCAGCCGCGGUAAUACGGAGGGUGCAAGCGGUACUCGGAAUCACUGGGCGUAAAGAGCGCGUAGGCGGGAUAGCAAGUCAGAUGUGAAAUCCUAGGGCUUAACCAUAGAACUGCAUUUGAAACUGUUAUUCUAGAGUAUGGGAGAGGUAGGUGGAAUUCUUGGUGUAGGGGUAAAAUCCGUAGAGAUCAAGAGGAAUACUCAUUGCGAAGGCGACCUGCUAGAACAUAACUGACGCUGAUGCGCGAAAGCGUGGGGAGCAAACAGGAUUAGAUACCCGUGUAGUC